GUGUGUCUAUGUGUCUGUUUGUCUGUGUGUAUCUGUUUAACUGCCUCUGGCUCUACACCUGUCUGAUUCCUGUCCCAGGACUGUGGUUAUGGGGAUGGGGGAGAGGGCGGCCGCUGUGUGGCGUGUGCAGAGGGGCAGUUCAGUACUGAGACUGGGUUGGCCCCCUGCUGGCAGUGCACUCGUUGUAUUCUGCUAAACCGCCAGGAGAGAGCAGUGUGCUCACCCACCAACAACGCCCAGUGUGGCAACUGCCUCCCAGGGUAUUAUAAGCUCAGAAGUAGGAGUGGGGAGGUGGACCUGUCGUGCAUGCCCUGUUACAGCCCCACAGGCAAGAUCCGGAAAGAGUGUUUACCUUUGCAGUGGAAACACACCUCCGCAGCAGUGACGCUGGAUACGGUCCAAGUCUCCAUGGCUCUUAUUGGUUCAGUGACUUCCGCCUCAAUCUUCCUACUGCUUCUGUUGCUUUGGGCCUUACUACUGAUCAUUGAGAGAUUCAAACAGGUUCCAAAGUAUUGUCCUGAAGGUCUACAUUCUGAAGUAGACACAGCCUUCCCACGGAAUACACUCCUCUCUAACACCACAGAGACUGGAGAGAAACCACCAGUUACCCCAUCAGAGAGUCCUGGACCAACACAGAACGCCCA